rnacentral:rRNA from 1 species
GACGAACGCUGGCGGCGUGCCUAAUACAUGCAAGUCGAACGCAGUGGGGACGGGUGAGUAACACGUGGGUAACCUCCCAUCAGAGGGGCUAACCAUUGGAAACAGGUGCUAAACCGAUACUGAUGGAUGGACCCGCGGUGCAUUAGCUAGUUGGUGGGGUAACGGCUCACCAAGGCGACGAUGAAUAGCCGGUCUGAGAGGGUGAGCGGCCACACGGGGACUGAGACACGGCCCAGAAUCCUACGGGAGGCAGCAGUGGGGAAUAUUGGGCAAUGGGCGAAAGCCUGAUGGAGCCAUGCCGCGUGUGUGAAGAAGGUCUUCGGGUCGUAAAGCACUUUUGGCAGAGAGGCGUUACCUGCAGAAGAAGCACCGGCUAACUCCGUGCCAGCCGCCGCGGUAAUAC